AACGAACGCUGGCGGCAUGCCUAACACAUGCAAGUCGAACGAGACCUUCGGGUCUAGUGGCGCACGGGUGCGUAACGCGUGGGAACCUGCCCUUAGGUUCGGAAUAACUCCCCGAAAGGGGUGCUAAUACCGGCUAAUGUCUUCGGACCAAAGAUUUAUCGCCUUUGGAUGGGCCCGCGUUGGAUUAGCUAGUUGGUAGGGUAAAAGCCUACCAAGGCGACGAUCCAUAGCUGGUCUGAGAGGAUGAUCAGCCACAUUGGGACUGAGACACGGCCCAGACUCCUACGGGAGGCAGCAGUGGGGAAUAUUGGACAAUGGGCGAAAGCCUGAUCCAGCAAUGCCGCGUGAGUGAUGAAGGCCUUAGGGUUGUAAAGCUCUUUUACCCGGGAUGAUAAUGACAGUACCGGGAGAAUAAGCUCCGGCUAACUCCGUG
rnacentral:rRNA from 1 species